UAGGGAAUCUUCGGCAAUGGACGAAAGUCUGACCGAGCAACGCCGCGUGAGUGAAGAAGGUUUUCGGAUCGUAAAACUCUGUUGUUAGAGAAGAACAAGGACGUUAGUAACUGAACGUCCCCUGACGGUAUCUAACCAGAAAGCCACGGCUAACUACGUGCCAGCAGCCGCGGUAAUACGUAGGUGGCAAGCGUUGUCCGGAUUUAUUGGGCGUAAAGCGAGCGCAGGCGGUUUCUUAAGUCUGAUGUGAAAGCCCCCGGCUCAACCGGGGAGGGUCAUUGGAACCUGGGAGACUUGAGUGCAGAAGAGGAGAGUGGAAUUCCAUGUGUAGCGGUGAAAUGCGUAGAUAUAUGGAGGAACACCAGUGGCGAAGGCGGCUCUCUGGUCUGUAACUGACGCUGAGGUUCGAAAGCGUGGGGGCAAACAGG
rnacentral:rRNA from 1 species